CAAAGAACUUUGAAGAGAGAGUUCAAUAGGACGUGAAACCGUACAGAGAAUAAACGUGCGAGUUAGAACGUUGGCGCAGAUUCAGCAAUGCAUCGCAUUGUGCAUUUCUGUGCCGUGGUCGUCGAGGAGUGGCGUGCCCUGACGCGUUGAGUGGUGAGCUGCUUAUGCAGUGUCUGCUCGGCGCCGAGAGUACAAAGUUCCAAAAAGGUGCCGUUUUCGUGAUAAGUCUCCAUCAAAGGUGGUGCUUGCACGAUGUGUACUGUGAUGACCAGUGUUUGACCUUGCACGACCCGUCUUGAAACACGGACCAAGGAGUCUAAAUUGUGCGCGAGCCAUUGGAUUUCAUCUCCAUAGGCGAAACGAAUGUGACGAGGUUGGAUCAUUUUUAUGCGCACCUCGAACGUGUGCUUUGUUCGCAUAGCGCUCAGUCUGAGUGCACAGAUUAGUACCCGAAAGAUGGUGAACUAUGCUUGAGCAGGACGAAGCUAGAGGAAACUCUGGUGGAAGUCCGAAGCGGUUCUGACGUGCAAAUCGAUCGUCAGACUUGAGUAUAGGGGCGAAAGACUAAUCGAACCAUC
rnacentral:rRNA from 1 species